rnacentral:rRNA from 1 species
CAAGCGGUGGAGCAUGUGGUUUAAUUCGAUGCAACGCGAAGAACCUUACCUACUCUUGACAUCCACGGAAUUUGGCAGAGAUGCCUUGGUGCCUUCGGGAACCGUGAGACAGGUGCUGCAUGGCUGUCGUCAGCUCGUGUUGUGAAAUGUUGGGUUAAGUCCCGCAACGAGCGCAACCCUUAUCCUUUGUUGCCAGCGAUACGGUCGGGGACUCAAAGGAGACUGCCGGUGAUAAACCGGAGGAAGGUGGGGAUGACGUCAAGUCAUCAUGGCCCUUACGAGUAGGGCUACACACGUGCUACAAUGGCGCAUACAAAGAGAAGCGACCUCGCGAGAGCAAGCGGACCUCAGAAAGUGCGUCGUAGUCCGGAUCGGAGUCUGCAACUCGACUCCGUGAAGUCGGAAUCGCUAGUAAUCGUGGAUCAGAAUGCCACGGUGAAUACGUUCCCGGGCCUUGUACACACC